rnacentral:rRNA from 1 species
GCUUAGCCAUAAACAGAUAUUUCACACACAAAAAUAUCCGCCAGAGAACUACGAGCAAAACGCUUAAAACUCUAAAGACUUGGCGGUGCCUUAAACCCCCCUAGAGGAGCCUGUUCUAUAAUCGAUAAUCCACGAUUCACCUCACCAUCUCUUGCCAAUACCGCCUAUAUACCUCCGUCACCAGCCUACCCUGUGAAGGAUAUAAAAGUAAGCAAAAUAACAAAUCAACAGCUAACAAGUCAGGUCAAGGUGUAGCUAACUGAGAUGGAAGAAAUGGGCUACAUUUUCUAAACUAGAAAUUAUCUCACGGAAAGAACUAUGAAACAAGUCCUAUAAGUAGGAUUUAGCAGUAAAUAGGGAUCAGAAUGCCCAAUUUAAGCCGGUCCUAAGGCACGC